rnacentral:rRNA from 1 species
UACAGAGGGUGCAAGCGUUAAUCGGAAUUACUGGGCGUAAAGCGUGCGUAGGUGGCCCGUUAAGUCAGAUGUGAAAUCCCUGGGCUCAACCUGGGAACUGCAUUUGAGACUGGCAGGCUAGAGUGUGGUAGAGGGUAGUGGAAUUCCGCAUGUAGCGGUGAAAUGCGUAGAGAUGCGGAGGAACACCAGUGGCGAAGGCGGCUACCUGGACCAACACUGACACUGAGGCACGAAAGCGUGGGUAGCAAAC